rnacentral:rRNA from 1 species
CGUGUAGGCGGGAAUACAAGUCAGGGGUGAAAUCCCGAGGCUCAACCUCGGAACUGCCUUUGAUACUGGUGAUCUUGAGUCCGGGAGAGGUGAGUGGAAUUCCUAGUGUAGAGGUGAAAUUCGUAGAUAUUAGGAAGAACACCAGUGGCGAAGGCGGCUCACUGGCCCGGUACUGACGCUCAUGUGCGAAAGCGUGGGGAGCAAACAGGAUUAGAUACCCUGGUAGUCC